GUGGGGAAUCUUCCGCAAUGGGCGAAAGCCUGACGGAGCAACGCCGCGUGAGUGAUGACGGCCUUCGGGUUGUAAAGCUCUGUUAUAUGGGACGAACGGGCAUGGGGCCAAUACCCUCAUGCAGUGACGGUACCGUAAGAGAAAGCCACGGCUAACUACGUGCCAGCAGCCGCGGUAAUACGUAGGUGGCAAGCGUUGGCCGGAAUGAUUGGGCGUAAAGGGCGUGUAGGCGGCCAGACAAGUCUGUCUUAAAAGUGCGGGGCUCAACCCCGUGAUGGGAUGGAAACUGUCGGGCUAGAGUGUCGGAGAGGAAAGCGGAAUUCCUAGUGUAGCGGUGAAAUGCGUAGAUAUUAGGAGGAACACCAGUGGCGAAAGCGGCUUUCUGGACGACAACUGACGCUGAGGCGCGAAAGCCAGGGGAGCAAACGGGAUUAGAUACCCGUGUAGUCC
rnacentral:rRNA from 1 species